AUGGAAACCCGUGAAGCCGGCUACGUAGGCGGCGGCGGAAGCAAGCUCCGGGACGUUGCCGACGACGUGGUCAAACCGUGUCAGGCCGUAGUCCACGGCACCCGGGUUGCUCACGCCCUCGAACCCCGGCAAGAAGGGCACGUCCGUGCCGUCCGGAUGGCUGACGAAGCGGAGCACGACGUCGCCGUAGAGCUCGACCUCCGCAAAGCCGAAGCCGCGGCCGAGGUCCACGGGGCUGAAGGCCGGGCGCGCGCCCCCGUCGACGCUGGCGCGGAAGGCCUCGGCGGCGUCCGCGACGCGCAGCGCUAUGGAGCGCACCGCGAGCCCGUGGUCCGCGGAGAACCGGCGCGCGGCGUCGGCGGAGAAGGAGGGCAGGGAGGCGGUGGCGGCGUCGCAGCCGUUGGCGUAGGGCGCGGUGAAGAGGAAGGCGAGGUUGCCCGAGCGGAGCAGCUGGGAGGCGUGCACGGAGUUCCCCGUGGAGAGGUCGGACCUGGCGGCGAGCGGCGCGCCGAGCGCGAAGGCGAAGCGGCCGGCGGCGGAGGCGGCGUCCGCGCACCAGAACUCGACGUGGUGGAAGGAGAGCGUGUGGAAGCGGUCGCUGCGCGGGUUGAAGCGGACCAUUCGGCGCGGCCGCGCGUGCUCCGGCGUCACCGCGGCGGCAGCGCCGGCGCCGGUGGCUGCGGGGGUGGUGGGGGUGGGCGGCAUGGUGUGUGUUCGCUUCUUGGUCGCGUGUGGUAG
rnacentral:rRNA from 1 species